rnacentral:rRNA from 1 species
GAGUUUGAUCGUGGCUCAGGAUGAACGCUGGCGGCGUGCCUAACACAUGCAAGUCGAACGAAGCGGUUUUGCGGAAGUUUUCGGAUGGAAGCGGAAUUGACUGAGUGGCGGACGGGUGAGUAACGCGUGGAUAACCUGCCUCAUACAGGGGGAUAACAGUUAGAAAUGACUGCUAAUACCGCAUAAGCGCACGGGAACGCAUGUUUCUGUGUGAAAAGCCGAGACGGUAUGAGAUGGAUCCGCGUCUGA